UACAGAGGGUGCAAGCGUUAAUCGGAAUUACUGGGCGUAAAGGGCGCGUAGGUGGUUAAUUAAGUCAGAUGUGAAAUCCCUGGGCUUAACCUAGGAAUUGCAUAUGAAACUGAUUGGCUAGAGUUCGAGAGAGGGAAGUGGAAUUUCCGGUGUAGCGGUGAAAUGCGUAGAUAUCGGAAGGAACACCAGUGGCGAAGGCGACUUCCGGGCUCGAUACUGACACUGAGGCGCGAAAGCGUGGGGAGCGAACAGG
rnacentral:rRNA from 1 species